CAUCUCUGGUAAGAUUUAUUCCUAAGUAUUUUAUCUUCUUGAGGGCUACUGCAAAUGGCAUUGAUUUGGUGAUUUCCUCUUCAAUGUUGUUUUUGCUGGUGUAGAGGAAUCCAACUGAUUUUUGUAUGUUUAUCUUGUAUCCCAAUACUCUGCUGAACUCUUCUAUUCGUUUCCGUAGUUUUCUGGAGGAUUCCUUAGGGUUUCCUGCGUAUAAGAUCAUGUAAUCUGCAAAUGGAGAUACUUUUACUUCUUCCUUGCCAAUCUGGAUGCCCUUUAUUUCUUUAUCUAGCCUAAUUGCUCUGGCUAGGACUUCCAGCACAAUGUUGAAUAAAAGUGGUGAUAAAGGGCAUCCUUGUCUGGUUCUGCCUAAAUAUUUUAAAUAAAAACCACCAGUCACCUGCUUAAUCCACGUAUACCUCCCAGUUUCAAUCCCCAGAGGCAAUCAUCUCAGCUCUUUAAGCUGGUUCUUCUAAUAUUUAUCACCAUUUUCUAAGUAAUAUGGUCUUACUCAACUUCUUGGCUCAUUGAUUUUAGACGUAAUAUCUUGACUUUGCACCAUGGUAGAUGAGGGUCUCACCCCUCCAUACAAUCUUUCCCAUUCCCCUUCUCUGCCAAGCAAAUACUGUUUAUAGCCAAGCCGAGUAGCAUGCUCAGCCAUACCUCCUUUCUUGUAGAAUCUUCAUUUUUCCUGUGUUAAAAAUGGUCAUUUUUUGAAUUUGCCCAUUUGUCCAUGAAUCUAUCUAAAAUUUCCCUAAGCAUCUUAAUAUCUUUGUUAUCUAAAUAUCAACAGUAUCUUCUAUAUAUUCACACGUAUCAUUUCCACAGUUUUCCCUACAGUUUGCCUUCCCACAGUCCUCCUUUGUGUUUCUGUCCACCCAGGGUCAUCUUUCGGUCCGCACACAACUGCACACAGGAACUUCCUGGCCUUUUAUUUUUAUGUGCCAGGAAAAAGCAAAAAACAAACAACAACAACAGCGAAGAACCCACCAAUGCUUCUAAAAUUAUUUUGUAUAAUAAAUCCUUAUUUGAACCUACCAAUGCACUAUUUUGAAAACUGCUCUGUUUUUCCUACUCUAAAUGUAUCCUUGGUUUACCAAAUAGUAGGUGAAGAGCUUCUCUUUAAGAAAUUCUUCCAGCUAACAAGUGAAAAAAAAAUUCUUGGAUUAAAAUAUCACCAUUUAAAAAUUCCUAAUGAACUAUGGGUCCUGGUAGCACAGGGGUUAAGUGCUCAAAAAAAAAAAAAAGUGCUUGGCUCCUAACAAAAAGGUCAGCAGUUCGAAUUCACCAGCGGCUCCUUGGAAAUCCUAUGAGGCAGUUCUACUCUGUUAUUUAUUGUUAGAUGUUGUCAAGUGGGUUGUGACUCAUGGUGAUCCCAUGUAACAAAGUAGAACUGCCCCACAGGGUUUUCUUGGUUGUAAUCUUUUAUGUGAGCAGAUCACCAUGUCUUUCUCCCAUCGAACCGCUGAGUGGGUUCAAACUGCAAACAUUUUGGCUAGCACUAGCGCACUUAGCUGUUUGUACCGCCAGGGCUGCUCAUUAUGUUUUGUUAAAUGAAAGAAGCAGGUUACAAACAGUAUUUAGGGUAUGACCCUAGUUUUGUUAAAAAAAAGAAAUUACAUAUAUGCAUUUGUAAAAGUCUAAAAGCACAUGGAACAUUUGCAAGCAGUGUGUUUUCAUUUCUAUAAUCAGAAAACGCAAGAAAUCUAUUUAAAAAGGGAGUGUUUAAUAAGUAAAGGUAAAGUCAACAUUACUUAAAUGCACUUGGAAUUCUUUCAAUAUACAAAAUUUCUAUAAAAUGAUAUUCCACUUUUAACUUUGUGAUAUAGCCUUCACUUUUUAAUGGAAUAAUGCUACUCUAUUAAAAACAACAGCAUUUGUGGUAAUAAUAGUUAACAUUUAAGGAGUGCCAGGCACUGUUAAAAGCUUUCUGUGAAUUAUCUCAUUCAAUGCUCACCACAACCUAAAAGGGUUGAUAUUAUUAUUGGACCUAUUUCACAAAUGAGGAAGCUAAGGCCAUAUAUCAAGUCAGUGGAAAGUCCUGGACUCUCAUCCAAGUAUGUUGAAAUCCAGAGCCUGUGCUUUUAACCUCUAUGCUAUAUUUCCUCUAUAAUUAGGAAAUGAAGUCUGAGCAAGGUCAUUUAUUUAUUUAUAUCAUUGUCUUGUUCCAGAAAGGAUUUCAGGCAUCUGGUUAAAUAAGUUAUCCAAGAUCACCCAGACAAUUAAGUGGCAGGGCCAGGGAUCAAAUCUCUUUCUCUCGCUGACUGUAUAAACUAAGUGAGAUAACACAGAUGUAGACCCACAUCAUAUAUUUCCUCAUAAACACGAGAAGGGGAAAUGGGGGCAUUUUCUUUGGCUGGUUUUCAUUUUCCUUCUGGUUGGAUGUUUUCAUCACUAGAAUUCUUUGCUUUGUCUUUUGAGAAAUAAAUGAACAGGACGAGAGGGAUUCAGGAAUAACAGGACUGGGUGGUAAGUAUACAGGCUGCCCAUGGUGGACAGAUGAAAGGAAAAGGCUUGAGAAGUGUGGUAGGAACAUGGUAGCCAAUCUGUAAACACUGGUUAGUAAAUACACAACCUUCAGGAGAAAAGGGAAGAAAGAGUGAAGAGGGGAUAAAACAAGGAGACAAAGGAAGAGCUGGGAAGUCAUACACUACAUGGAAGUGGAGGGAAAGUAGCACCGGGGUGCAUUUAUAGCUGUUACAAGAGUGAGAGUAAAAAUAAGACUUGAAUUUAAGAGUUCCAGUUCAAAGAAGGAAAAUAUGAAAGAUAAACACUACCCAUUCUUUUUUUUUUUUUUUUUAAAGCACAUAACCUAAAGUAUCUCAAAUUGGGGAUAGUUCCUUCAAGUGUGAGUGAUGAAUAAUGUUGUCAGCUCCUCUUAGUCCCUGCUUACUGGGUCUGUGGCAUCAUCCGUCUUAAGACAAAUAUUUAAUCCAUUUUUUUACCCCUAAAAACUAAAUCCAAACAGGGUUUGUGCAAAGAGCUGCCUUUUCUUGGCAAUAGCUUGAAAAAUAAAUAAAAUGAAACAUAUACUUGUUCUUUUUUGUGUGUCUAAAAAGUGGAACAUUCAUUUGCUUUCACUUUGAAUUAUUAUAAAAACAUUGCAGAAUCUGUUCUUAAUUUUUUUUUUUUUUUUGAAGGAGCCUGUCUCAAUUUAGUAUCCUUAACCAAACAUGCUUAAGUCCCAGGGCAAGAACUGGCUAUAAAAAAAAUACAGCUCUUUUAAUAGCAGCUCUUUAGCCCUAGUUGUUCACUGAAAGCUAUGAAAGCAAAAUGCAUUUGAAACUCUUCUCAUUAAGAACCAUGAUGUUUUACUUUAGUUGGACUUGGUCACUCUGGAUAAUGUGAAACAGAAGUCACUUAUUGAGAGACAGGGACAGGAAGGGGAAAUGGCUGACCUGUAACUAGAGUUCUCCAAAGGUGAUAGGUAUACUUAUUAAUCUCCUGGGAUCUAUACUCACUUAGCAACUUGAGCUGACCAGCACGUGUGUUGAGUAAUGUUUAAAUUGUUGGCGGGCACAUAUAUGAACUUAACAUCACAGGAAUUUAUUUCCUCCCCCAUUGCUCCCUUCUGAACAUUUCCUUUUUUGCCUAAACUAUGCAAACAACAUUCAAAAAAGGCAACUAAAUAUAGGCUUGUUGGAUAGAAUCCUGUGGCAUAUUGAUCAUUAUGACUUCCCGCUUGUCACCAGACACAGACAAAGAGUUCUCUGUGUGUUGGCAAAGAAUAUUGACUAUACCAUGAAGUGCCGGAAGAAUGACCAAAUCUGUCUUGGAAGAUGUACAGCCAGAAUGUUCCUUCGAAGCAAGCGAGGAUGGUGAUAACCUCCAGUCUUUUUGGAACCAGGAUAUUUGGUCAUCAUCGUUCCCUUAGUAAAUGUGCAGAAUCUAUGACGUUCUAGUAUUGAUGCUGAGCACCAUGAGGAGAUGCUAAGAUGGUGACUGAAGUCCUGAUUCUUUGGAAAUCAGUGUUCACGGGCAGGUUCCGGAGGUGUGAGUGGGCUGUGUGGCUGGCUGCUUCUUCCUGAGGAAACUGUAGCUGAACGCUAGGACCAGUCUGCUGCCACUACCUCCACCGUCAUCGCUCCAGGAAUGGUGCCUGAGGGCUCCCCGCGAUUCAGUUCUAUUGUAGGGCCUGUGAACUCGCAAAUGGAUGCCAACUUCUGGCAGAAAAGGCAGAUCAGACCACACCAGCACCCGUUCUUGGCUGGAAUCACUAUUUGAUCAUGGCUCUCCUUCCCGCUGAUCCUGAAUGGGACCUCAAAAUGCUUCUAAACACAGCGCUCCUGGCAGCUACAACUGACCCACUGGGGUUGACCUUCUAGAUGAAAAUGGUUUAUCAUUUCCUGCCUACUGAAACAUCUUUUUGAACUACUGCCUGAGAGACAAUGCUGUGAAUAUAUUAAUUUUUCAUACAGUAGUAUAUGUGCUGCCGAAGCGAGCACACCCUCCUGAACUUUUAAAGUGUAUUACUGACUAAAGGUAAGGGGAAAUGCCUAAACUUUAAAAGUGAAACUUUAAAAAAGAAAAAUAUUAAAGGGUUGUGAUCUAUUGCUUGCUGUUACUAAACACUGAUGGAACUACUAUGCUUAAAAAUGUGUUUAUAUUGUUCCAAAUUGAGUCAUUUCCUCUAGACAACUGUGAGCUCGUUAAGGUAAGACGGUGUCUUAUUUUUUUCUCCAGUGUAUCAAAUAUUGUCCAGAAAGCCAGAGUUGCGCAAUAUUUUCUAUAUCGUAUGUUUUUUGAUAUUUUUGGUAGGAGAGAUUAUGAUAGAAAAGGCAAUUUUUUUUUACAGCCUCGAAAGGAACAUCAUUUAUAAAAGUUGCAAGACAAGAUUAAUAUAUUGGAAAGAAUUGAUGUACUAUACUACAUAUAUUGUUUUUAGGUGCUGUGGAGUUGGUUCCGACUCACAGCAACCCUACAGGACAGAGUAGAACUGCCCCAUAGGGUUUCCAGGGAGUGACUGGUGGGUUUGAACUGCCGAACAUUUUGGUUAGCAGCCGUAGCUCACUGUACUUCUUAACCACUG